rnacentral:misc_RNA from 1 species
GAAUUGAGGCCACCAAAAGUAGAGUACUUCGCAAGACAAGGAUUGCAAUCCAAAAGCAUUUUAGCCUCGACCAAAUCACCAUCUCUGGCCGCAGAUACUAAUCUUUCGCCGGAGGCAGAGCAACCAAAUGAAUUUCCCAUUUUUCUUCUCUCUCUUCCCCCUCCCUCUCUUUCUAGGCAAUUUUUUUUUUUUUUUAGGGAGUGAACCGUCGUGGAAAUAAAAUUCAAAAAAGCAAAGGGAAAUGUGGAAUAAAAAUUCACAAAAUCAACUGGAU